rnacentral:misc_RNA from 1 species
AGCUGGAGGAGCUGAUCCAGGGGGCUCAGUGUGUACACAGCCCCCGUUUUCCUGCCCAGCCCUUGUCCUCAGUGCACCCCUGCUAAGGGGCAAGGAGAAGGCUGACGGGUGGCUCUCUGCAGUACCUGAAGCUGCGGGAGCGAAUGCAGAUACAGAAGGAGAUGGAGCGGCUGCGCUUCCUACUGUCGGAUCAGUCAUUGCUGCUGCUUCCUGAGUACCAUCAGCGAGUAGAGGUGCUCCGAACCCUGGGUUACGUGGACGAGGCGGGCACUGUGAAGCUGGCAGGGCGGGUGGCUUGUGCCAUGAGCAGCCAUGAGUUGCUCCUCACUGAGCUCAUGUUUGACAAUGCACUGAGCACCCUGCGGCCUGAGGAGAUUGCUGCCUUGCUCUCUGGCCUGGUCUGCCAGAGCCCUGGGGACGCUGGGGAUCAGCUCCCAAACACCCUCAAGCAGGGAAUAGAACGUGUCCGGGCUGUGGCCAAGCGGAUUGGUGAGGUCCAGGUGGCUUGUGGCCUGAACCAGACGGUGGAGGAAUUUGUGGGGGAGCUGAAUUUUGGGCUGGUUGAGGUUGUAUAUGAGUGGGCCCGGGGCAUGGUGAGUACCUGAGGUUUGGGAUUUUGCAGACGGCUGGCUGGGGAGAACCUGCCCAGGCUGAGUGCAUCCAGUCCUCACCCUACUUUCCCCACAGCCCUUCUCCGAGUUGGCAGGGCUCUCAGGGACCCCUGAGGGCCUGGUGGUCCGCUGCAUUCAGCGCCUGGCUGAGAUGUGUCGCUCACUGCGGGGGGCAGCCCGCCUGGUAGGAGAGCCUGUGCUGGGUGCCAAGAUGGAGACAGCGGCUACCUUGCUACGGCGGGACAUCGUAUUUGCGGCCAGCCUCUACACCCAGUGAAUGCCCCAUGUAAAAACAUGAUGAUAAAACAGCAAA